rnacentral:rRNA from 1 species
UAACUUCGGGAAACCGGAGCUAAUACCGGAUAAUAUUUUGAACCGCAUGGUUCAAAAGUGAAAGACGGUCUUGCUGUCACUUAUAGAUGGAUCCGCGCUGCAUUAGCUAGUUGAUAAGGUAACGGCUUACCAAGGCAACGAUGCAUAGCCGACCUGAGAGGGUGAUCGGCCACACUGGAACUGAGACACGGUCCAG